rnacentral:lncRNA from 1 species
CCAUCUAAGAAGUGGUAGCCAUUUUUUUUCAGCUGGUCCUGCUGCAAAAGGAAAACCAGUUACUUUCAUACUCUGUUUCAAUCAGAACAUGUUUGAUGUUAAAAAUAGUUUAUUUAUUUGUAUUAAAUAAAUCAAAUGCUUCAAUUGAAUUUUCUUUAUUUGUAUUAAAAAUGUUUUAAACAAAGAUUCUGGUGGAUGUUGUUGGAUUCUGGCCUUGGAGGAGCUCGUUGCUUCGGCGGAUCCGAUAGUGGUUUGGUGCUAUUUGCGGUGGAUGUUUUGGUUUUUGGCGUGUUUGUUGUUUGUUGCAAGCUCAAGUGGUGAUUGUUGGAACUUGGAUGUGAUGUGUGUUCGCUUCCGUUUCGGGGAAGGAUGAACUUAAGGGGGGCAAGUAGGGGCUAAGCCCCCCACUUGUUGAUACUAUAUCACUUUUUUUUGGUUACCAUGAGAUACGAAGUUUUUUACUGUUGUUAGCGACGACUAAUCUUUGUCGGAGAACGUGUAUGACACAUAAAGUGAGUUCUCUCAUUCCAAUCUAAUUUUUUCCAUACGUAUGAAUCAGAAAUCGAACUCUUGAUCAUAUACUUAAAGGGAUCAAGACCUUUAUCAUUUGGACGUUGGUCAUACUAUCACUCUUUAUAGGUAUACUUGGAUAUGUCCUUGGUUUCCGGUUCCUUGAGUUUAUUUUUUUGGGGUGGUUGCAUCCGCUUGUUGGCAUCUGCUCUGCCUCUACUUAGUGUUGUGAUUGGCGGUGUGAGUGGUGGUGUGGUGGUGCGAUGCAUCAUAAUUUUCAAGCAAUUGCUUUGUUUCAAGAUUCUUUCUGACGGCCUUCUUCGCGCAUGCAAUAUUUGGUGGUUACAGUUUGU